CGCGUAUAGAAUCUACCUUACACUGAGGGAUAGCCUUUGGAAACGAAGAUUAAUACCUCAUAGUAUAUUGACUUGGCAUCAAGAUAAUAUUAAAGGUUACGGUGUAAGAUGACUAUGCGUUCUAUUAGCUAGAUGGUAAGGUAACGGCUUACCAUGGCAACGAUAGAUAGGGGCCCUGAGAGGGGGAUCCCCCACACUGGUACUGAGACACGGACCAGACUCCUACGGGAGGCAGCAGUGAGGAAUAUUGGACAAUGGAGGCAACUCUGAUCCAGCCAUGCCGCGUGCAGGAAGACUGCC
rnacentral:rRNA from 1 species